rnacentral:rRNA from 1 species
ACGGAAGGCAGCAGUGGGGAAUAUUGCACAAUGGGGGAAACCCUGAUGCAGCAACGCCGCGUGAGUGAAGAAGUAUCUCGGUAUGUAAAGCUCUAUCAGCAGGGAAGAAAAAAGACGGUACCUGACUAAGAAGCACCGGCUAAAUACGUGCCAGCAGCCGCGGUAAUACGUAUGGUGCAAGCGUUAUCCGGAUUUACUGGGUGUAAAGGGAGCGCAGGCGGUCUUGCAAGCCAGAGGUGAAAACCCGGGGCUCAACCCCGCGGAUUGCCUUUGGAACUGUAGGACUUGAGUACUGGAGGGGCAGGCGGAAUUCCUGGUGUAGCGGUGAAAUGCGUAGAUAUCAGGAGGAACACCGGUGGCGAAGGCGGCCUGCUAGACAGAAACUGACGCUGAGGCUCGAAAGCGUGGGGAGCAAACAGGAUUAGAUACCCUGGUA